AUGGGAACGCGAAGAACCUUACCUAGACUUGACAUCUCCUGAAUAGUGUAGAGAUACAUGAAGCCCUUCGGGGCAGGAAGACAGGUGGUGCAUGGUUGUCGUCAGCUCGUGUCGUGAGAUGUUGGGUUAAGUCCCGCAACGAGCGCAACCCUUAUUACUAGUUGCUACCAUUAAGUUGAGCACUCUAGUGAGACUGCCCGGGUUAACCGGGAGGAAGGCGGGGAUGACGUCAAAUCAUCAUGCCCCUUAUGUCUAGGGCAACACACGUGCUACAAUGGUGAGUACAGAUAGAUGCGAUACCGCAAGGUGGAGCCAAACUCUAAAACUCAUCCCAGUUCGGAUUGUAGGCUGCAACUCGCCUACAUGAAGUUGGAGUUGCUAGUAAUCGCGAAUCAGAAUGUCGCGGUGAAUACGUUCCCGGGUCUUGUACACAC
rnacentral:rRNA from 1 species